GCCCGCUUGGCUCAGUGGUAAGGCGUCUGUCUCGUAAACAGAAGAUCGGCGGUUCGAUUCCGCCAGUGGGCA